CGAAAGUCAGGUCGGAUUAAGCCAUAGUGCGGAAAAAACUAUGCUACCUGUGAGCCCCGUCCAAGGACGUUAAAAGAAGUCAGGCCAUCACGAAUGCCACAGCUUGAGCAAACUGUGCAGCCUGUAGCUCCACCUGAGAAGGUGUAAAAAAUCUGGGAGGCCACAAACCAUGGAAGCUGUACGCAUGGCGUAGUGGACUAGCGGUUAGAGGAGACCCCUCCCUUACAGAUCGCAGCAACAACGGGGGCCCAAGGUGAGAUGAAGCUGU
rnacentral:lncRNA from 1 species